rnacentral:rRNA from 1 species
UACGUAGGGUGCGAGCGUUAUUCGGAAUUACUGGGCGUAAAGGGUUCGUAGGCGGCCGACUAAGUCAGACGUGAAAUCCCUCAGCUUAACUGGGGAACUGCGUCUGAUACUGGAUGGCUUGGAUUUGGGAGAGGGAUGCGGAAUUCCAGGUGUAGCGGUGAAAUGCGUAGAUAUCUGGAGGAACACCGGUGGCGAAGGCGGCAUCCUGGACCGACACUGACGCUGAGGAGCGAAAGCCAGGGGAGCAAACGGG